GCAAGUCGAGGGGUAACAGGGAUUGCUUGCACUCGCUGACGACCGGCGCACGGGUGCGUAACGCGUAUAGAACCUACCUUUUACAGAGGGAUAGCCUUUAGAAAUGAAGAUUAAUACCUCAUAGUAUUGCGAUUUGGCAUCAGAUUGUAAUUAAAGAUUUAUUGGUAAAAGAUGGCUAUGCGUCCUAUUAGUUAGAUGGUAAGGUAACGGCUUACCAUGACAAUGAUAGGUAGGGGUCCUGAGAGGGAUAUC
rnacentral:rRNA from 1 species